rnacentral:rRNA from 1 species
UACAGAGGGUGCGAGCGUUAAUCGGAAUUACUGGGCGUAAAGAGCGUGUAGGCGGCUUUACAGGUCCGUUGUGAAAACUCGAGGCUCAACCUCGAGACGCCGGAUGGAACCGUAAGGCUAGAGUCCGGAAGAGGAGAGUGGAAUUCCUGGUGUAGCGGUGAAAUGCGCAGAUAUCAGGAGGAACACCCGUGGCGAAAGCGGCUCUCUGGGACGGUACUGACGCUGAGACGCGAAAGCGUGGGGAGCAAACAGG